rnacentral:lncRNA from 1 species
CAAGGGAGAAGGACACACAUGAGGAGGGUCUGACUCUUCAUUUCUUUAAGGUGCCCCUUAUUUUCCUCUUCUUGGGGUGCUACCAGGCACAGGAGAAUAUGUUCAAGUCCAUGCUAUGGAAUAGGCUGAUAGUGAAGCAGUAUUUCACAAAGAAACGGAGGUAAACCCACCCCUGGUGUGUGAUCAGGGAGAGUGAUAAGGAUGCCCUCUGCUUACCAG